AUGGAGCGGGGUCCAUCCAAAGUAGACUGCGGGUGCUUCAACCCCUUGCUCUUUUGCAUGCGGAAUCCCUCCCAUGCCCGUGACAUCGGCACCCGCAUCAAGGCGCUCAACAAGAGGCUUGACACCAUCAAGGAGCGAAGCGCUGCUUUUAGCUUCAUCAAUCUUGGUUCCUAUGAGGAUCGUAGCAUCAAUGUGCACGCCCCUCGUUCUAGUGAUGCCGGGCGUGAGACAUCAGGGGAGUUCGACCGGCAGGGUGUAGUCGGGGAGAAGAUCAAAGAAGACACAAGAAAACUGGUUGAGAUGAUGCUUUCUGAAAAAAAGCAACAACAACAUCAUGGUGUUCGCUGUUGUUGGUGUCGGUGGGAUCGGUAA
rnacentral:rRNA from 1 species